GACGGAGGAUGCAAGUGUUAUCCGGAAUCACUGGGCGUAAAGCGUCUGUAGGUGGUCAAAUAAGUCAACUGUUAAAUCUUGAGGCUCAACCUCAAAAUCGCAGUCGAAACUAUUAGACUAAAGUAUAGUAGGGGUAAAGGGAAUUUCCAGUGGAGCGGUGAAAUGCGUAGAGAUUGGAAAGAACACCGAUGGCGAAGGCACUUUACUGGGCUAUUACUAACACUCAGAGACGAAAGCUAGGGUAGCAAAUGGG
rnacentral:rRNA from 1 species